rnacentral:rRNA from 1 species
AUUUUCGGCAAUGGGGGGAACCCUGACCGAGCAACGCCGCGCGAACGAAGAAGUUAUUCGUAAUGUAAAGUUCUUUUAUCAGGGAAGAACAGAAGAGAAUUGACGGUACCUGAUGAAUAAGCUACGGCUAACUACGUGCCAGCAGCCGCGGUAAUACGUAGGGAGCGAGCGUUAUCCGGAAUUAUUGGGCGUAAAGGGUGCGUAGAUGGUGGAUAAAGUCUUUUGUAAAAAUGCUAGGCUCAACCUAGUAGGGCAAAAGAUACUAAUUGACUAGAGUAUGACAGAGGCAAGUGGAACUACAUGUGUAGCGGUAAAAUGCGUAAAUAUAUGUAAGAACACCGGUGGCGAAGGCGGCUUGCUGGGUCGAUACUGACAUUGAGGCACGAAAGCGUGGGGAGCAAA